rnacentral:rRNA from 1 species
CCUGCCGGACCUGACUGCUAUCGGAUUGAUACUAAGCCAUGCGAGUCAUUGUAGCAAUACAAGGCAGACGGCUCAGUAACGCGUAGUCAACCUACCCUAUGGACGGGAAUAACCUCGGGAAACUGAGUAUAAUGCCCGAUAGAACAUUAUGCCUGGAAGGGUUUAUGUUCCAAAUGAUUUAUCGCCGUAGGAUGGGACUGCGGCCUAUCAGUUUGUUGGUGAGGUAAUGGCCCACCAAGACUAUUACAGGUACGGGCUCUGAGAGGAGUAGCCCGGAGAUGGGUACUGAGACACGGACCCAGGCCCUAUGGGGCGCAGCAGGCGAGAAAACUUUGCAAUGUGCGAAAGCACGACAAGGUUAAUCCGAGUGGUUUCUGCUAAAGGAACCUUUUGUUAGUCCUAAAAACACUAACGAAUAAGGGGUGGGCAAGUUCUGGUGUCAGCCGCCGCGGUAAAACCAGCACCUCAAGUGGUCAGGAUGAUUAUUGGGCCUAAAGCAUCCGUAGCCUGCUCUGUAAGUUUUCGGUUAAAUCUGUAUGCUCAACAUACAGGCCGCCGGAAAUACUGCAGGGCUAGGGAGUGGGAGAGGUAGACGGUACUCGGGAGGAAGUGGUAAAAUGCUUUGAUCUUUCGAUGACCACCUGUGGCGAAGGCGGUCUACCAGAACACGUCCGACGGUGAGGGAUGAAAGCUGGGGGAGCAAACCGGAUUAGAUACCCGGGUAGUCCCAGCCGUAAACUAUGCAAACUCAGUGAUGCAUUGGCUUGUGGCCAAUGCAGUGUUGCAGGGAAGCCGUUAAGUUUGCCGCCUGGGAAGUACGUACGCAAGUAUGAAACUUAAGGAAUUGGCGG